rnacentral:rRNA from 1 species
UUGGAGGGCAAGUCUGGUGCCAGCAGCCGCGGUAAUUCCAGCUCCAAUAGCGUAUAUUAAAGUUGUUGCAGUUAAAAAGCUCGUAGUUGAAUUUCGGGGUUCAUACGUUGGUCGGGCUUUUUGGUCUGUACUAGCGUAAUGGAUUCCUACCUUCUGAAUAACCGGCAUGCCAUUAAUUUGGUGCGCCGGGGAAGCAGGACUGUUACCUUGAAAAAAUUAGAGUGCUUAAAGCAGGCUAUCGCCUGAAUACAUUAGCAUGGAAUAAUGAAAUAGGACGGCAUGGUUCUAUUUUGUUGGUUUCUAGGAUCACCGUAAUGAUUAAUAGGGAUAGUUGGGGGCAUUAGUAUUCAAUUGUCAGAGGUGAAAUUCUUGGAUUUAUUGAAGACUAACUUCUGCGAAAGCAUUUGCCAAGGAUGUUUUCAUUAAUCAAGAACGAAAGUUAGGGGAUCGAAGACGAUCAGAUACCGUCGUAGUCUUAACCAUAAACUAUGCCGACUAGGGGUCGGACGAUGUUAAUUUUUUAAUGACUCGUUCGGCGCCUUACGGGAAAC